rnacentral:rRNA from 1 species
CGCUGGCGGCGUGCUUCAUACAUGCAAGUCGAACGAUAAGGCGUCUUCGGACGUACAUAAGUGGCGGACGGGUGAGUAAUAUGUAGAGAAUCUGCCCUAGAGUGGGGGACAACCGUUGGAAACGACAGCUAAUACCCCAUAUGAGCGUAGUUGAGAUACUAUUCUUGAAAACUCCGGUGCUCUGGGAUGAGUCUGCAUCUGAUUAGCUAGUUGGGGGUGUAAUGGACCACCAAGGCGAUGAUCAGUAGCUGGUUUGAGAGGAUGAUCAGCCACAAUGGGACUGAGACACGGCCCAUACUCCUACGGGAGGCAGCAGUAGGGAAUUUUGCGCAAUGGGGGAAACCCUGACGCAGCAACGCCGCGUGACCGAUUAAGCCCUUCGGGGUGUAAAGGUCUGUCAGUGGGGACGAAAAAUGACGGUACCCACAGAGGAAGCACCGGCUAACUCCGUGCCAGCCGCAGC